CCUACGGGAGGCAGCAGUGAGGAAUAUUGGUCAAUGGGCGUAAGCCUGAACCAGCCAAGUCGCGUGAAGGAUGAAGGUUCUAUGGUUUGUAAACUUCUUUUAUAAGGGAAUAAAGUGAGGGACGUGUCCUUUUUUGUAUGUACCUUAUGAAUAAGGAUCGGCUAACUCCGUGCCAGCAGCCGCGGUAAUACGGAGGAUCCGAGCGUUAUCCGGAUUUAUUGGGUUUAAAGGGUGCGUAGGUGGGUGUUUAAGUCAGCGGUGAAAGUUUGUGGCUCAACCAUAAAAUUGCCGUUGAAACUGGUAGGCUUGAGUAUAUUUGAGGUAGGCGGAAUGCGUGGUGUAGCGGUGAAAUGCUUAGAUAUCACGCAGAACUCCGAUUGCGAAGGCAGCCUACCAAACUAUAACUGACACUGAUGCACGAAAGCGUGGGGAUCAAACAGGAUUAGAUACCCCUGUAGUC
rnacentral:rRNA from 1 species